rnacentral:rRNA from 1 species
UACAGGGGGGGCAAGCGUUGUUCGGAAUUACUGGGCGUAAAGGGCCAGUAGGCGGCCAACUAAGUCACACGUGAAAUCCCCAGGCUUAACCUGGGAACUGCGUGUGAUACUGGAUGGCUUGAAUUCGGGAGAGGGAUGCAGAAUUCCAGGUGUAGCGGUGAAAUGCGUAGAUAUCAGGAGGAACACCGAUUGCGAAGGCAGCUCGCUGGGACGUUACUGACGCUGAGACGCGAAAGCGUGGGGAGCAAACAGG